UAACUAAAGACAAACUUAACUACUAAGAUCCUAAGCAGACAGCCCUCAAAUGCUCAGAGAUCUAGAGAAUAUGGCAUUUAAAAUGUUUUGUUAAAAAGCUUUUUAUAACAGAGAGAUAGGCCAGUUGCUGGUCCUACCCCAUUUCCUCCGAGAAGACUGAUGGGCACUGAAUAAGCUUCAUCUCGAGUCAGUGACAACGCUGGUCACUGAGCAACCCUGCCCUUCACCUCAACUGGUACAAAGUAUUCCAGACCAUGGACAAGAGGACAACGGAAUCGACUUUCCCGGCGUUGCUUGGGCCAACGGUAGGCGAGUCUUCCCAAAGUCUCUAAUCCACAGGUCGCAAGUUAUCAGCAAGAAGGCAGGUGUCCUGCAGCCCGCUACUAUGGAUGGAGGACCUUGGGGAUGGCUGUCCAUGCAGCCUGCUGGCAAGUCUCUGUUAUUCUUUAAUCAUUGAUUCAGGUAAAAUCUUAUCCUUCUCAAGAACUCUGAUGCUUUUGACGACUGAUAGUCUUGCCAACUUAAAGCAAAACAGAUUCCAGUAACAGGUAUUUUGGGGUUUAACUAUGUGAAGAUAGGAAAGUCUAAGAUGUAUAAAGGUCUGAGAAUGUAGUUACAAAGGCCUAAGGAUAUAAAGGCUUAAGUGAUGAUAAAAUAAGUCGAGACAUUAAGAGAAUAAAAUAUGUUCCUGACUUCUCUAUUUCUCAUGCUACUGUUCAUAAUAAAGUUCACCAAUAUCACUAUAUGAUCAUAACUACAAGGUCAAGAUUAAGAUGCUUUUCAUUGUCCAAAAAAAAAAAUCUGUCUGUUUUUAAAAUGGUAAUACUUUCAGCCAAGUUGCUUCUAACAUGAAUAUGCUUCUAACAUGUCUAAUACUUAUGUUUCCACAAACUCUAAGGAUUCUUGUAAGUUCCAGGGAGCUGAAUCAGAUCCAAACAGGUCAGGUUCACUCCAGGUCUAAGGCACCAGGGAGUUCCAUACAGCCUGGACUACAAUGAAGCAACCAGCUUCCCCAGGACGUGGCAGCAACCCAACCUUCUCGGGUCCCCCAAAGAUGGUCAACGCCCCCCAUGUCAGCAGGAAGCAGUCUUAAGAAGUCGACGCCCUUAUUCCUUAACCUGCCAUGUCUAAACACCCACCUUUUUUUAAUAAUAAGUAGAGGUGGGAAUGAAAGGUUCAGGCAUUAUGCUGGCCUGCCCGUUACCUGGUGGAAUCCACUCAGGCAAUACCCUGGUCAACCCAAGGUUCCAUGGGAAAGAAGUCUGUACGCAGGUGCAGAGGACCCCUUUAAAAGAUAGGCCCCUGCUCUCUCUCUCUCUCUCUCUCCCCCUGUUCCUGCUCUCUGUCCCCUCUCUCUGUUUCCCCGCUCUGUCUCUCUAUGGCGACCGGCCAUGGCGGUCAGCCAUUACCCUGUUCCUCCUCUUAGUCUCCCCAUUCUGCCGGUCCUUAUAAUAAACUUAUAGUCAAUAUGUCUGUCUCAAUAUUUCUCUUUUCUUCUUUUUAAACAAAAGAAUAACAGAGUGGACCUGGGGGAACCCCAUUUAGGUCAAAGACCCCCCAACCCCUGUGCUUCCAGAGCCUCCCAUGCUUCCUCCUAGUCUCUUCCACAUGUCAUCAUAACUGCUGUUCUGACUGUCAUUUGUUUAUUUGAUAUUUUGUUAGCCUGGGUUGACCUGAACUUGCUCUGUAGACCAUGUUAGCCUUAAACCCUCAGAGAUCCUCCUGACUCUGCCUCUUAAAUGCUGAGAUUAAAUGCCUG
rnacentral:lncRNA from 1 species